rnacentral:lncRNA from 1 species
AUUAUUACUAUCUUUGAUCAUGAAACUUCACUUGGCAUGGGGCAAGCUCUAGAUUAUAAAUAUUCUACGAAGGGUUGAAGGAAAUUUUGGGGUUGGGAUGGACCCACUCCAAUGAUUCGCACCAUUCUUUCUCUUCUUUGAAUAUAUGUAUACUUUUGAGAAAGGGAGGAUGAGAUGGUUGUCCAUCGAGAGGUGGCAGAAACGAAGGCAUCUUCUUUCAGCUUUUUGACAAAAACAACCCAAUUUACUCGAUGGAAUUACAAAUUACGGUUCCCUUGCAGAUGCUUUUCAAUUUCGUACACUCUGGGGCAUCAAACUCUUUAACCUUGGCAGGGUAACAUUAGCACUACCGUUCGAACCUAGGCUGCCUUCAUCAUUGUCUCCUAUUACCUCAUCCAUUUCUACACAUGAUUUGACUGCCAACUCUCGGCGGUUAUGGAGGUUAUUUACCAAACUCCGAGGAAUAAUUUUCUUCAUUUUCCCACAAUCCAGAAUCUCCAACUUUUGAAGCUGGGUAAAUUCAUCACAUGGAAGAUGUGCCGCUGUUACUCCUCCGCUGCUCUAUAGGAGACGAAGGAGGAAGAUGAUUUGAAGUAAGCAUGUUUUAGUUUUUCAUUUAGUGCUUAUUCGGAUAAAAUUAUAAGUUAUUAAAAUUAUAAUGCUAUAGAAAUUUUUUGUGGAUAAGUGAGUAGUUGUUGUACGUCUUAUGAAAUGUUUGGUUAAAAAUUAAAAUUACAAACGCACUGCUUGUGAUUGUAGAGAGAGGAUAUUUAGUUCAGGACUUUGGAGUUUUACUGACUAAUAUUUAUUGUUAUAGUUUGGUUUCUUAUCAGGCUGGAAUUAUGAUGAAGGGGCAGAUCAAGAUUCAUUCAUGGUUUCAGAGCAGCAGCAUCAGUUACUGCAAGGUUCUUGUUCAUUCUCAUGCCAGUCCAGACAUAUGUUAACUUGCACUUAAAUCUAGAACUAGUUCAAACAUGACAUUUGAACUUAUUCUUUGUCUUGCCUAGUACUACUAUGUUUGAUAAUGUAAACUUUAUGUUACUGUUUGUUCCAUAAAUCUCCUGCAAGCAUCGAAUGUUGGUAAUGUCAUGAUUAUU